UAGGUAGGGGGCAAGCGUUGUCCGGAUUUACUGGGCGUAAAGAGCGUGUAGGCGGCCAAGCAGGUCCGUUGUGAAAACUGGAGGCUUAACCUCCAGACGUCGACGGAAACCGCGUGGCUAGAGUCCGGAAGAGGAGAGUGGAAUUCCUGGUGUAGCGGUGAAAUGCGCAGAUAUCAGGAAGAACACCAAUGGCGAAGGCAGCUCUCUGGGACGGUACUGACGCUGAGACGCGAAAGCGUGGGGAGCGAACAGG
rnacentral:rRNA from 1 species